AAAAAAUGAAAAAGAAGGAAAAGAAAAACGGAAGAAGGCAAGGAAAGCCUACCUUCGAUCAAAGGCUCAGUGAAAGGCAUCCACCUUCCAGAAGCCCCUCUUGCGAUGAAGAAGGGAGGGCGAUGGGAAGAAAUACCGACUGCAGAAGAUUGGGGUGAAAGGAUGGUAACGAUGAAAAAGAGAAGACUCUCAAAAGGGCAGC
rnacentral:lncRNA from 1 species